ensembl:ncRNA lncRNA:CR31451 long non-coding RNA::CR31451
AAGGGUCGAGUGCGGAUCCCUUGCCCCAGCGGCUAUUCGCCUGCGCACUCGGUCCAUCCCUGGCUCACUACACGAAGCGACGGCGUGGCCCAGUUGGGUGCGGGAAUAGCCGGAUCCGGCCUUAACAACCGGAAAAACCAUUGAGCGCGGGACGCACUCGGCUGUAGGUACGCCGCCCAAACAAGGUCACACCGAGAGACACACGUCCACGAACAGACCAGAGUUCUUCCCGCAAUCCAUCAGACACGCACUGCCAUGGAAAGGUCACGGAAAUCGCAUGGCAGUGUUCACCAAAAUCCAAAUCCAAGCCCAAUCCGUCCCUAGUCCCGCCCCUUGCGAAUCCGCUUGCGGAUUUGUGGGGGUGGGGUGUGGGGCGGCUGGGUGGGAGUUUGAUCAUAACACAAACACGAAACCAAACCAAACACCACCACCCUUUGCGUUCGGCAAAUCACCUCCGGCUGCGAUUAAGGGGCUCAGUGCCAGGGGUUAAUCGGAGCACACUCGACCGAUUUCCGUGACAUACGUCUCUAGCCAAAUGCGGCAGAGAUCGGAGGGCGCGCCCGACGCCACCAGUCGUGGGCUAUGCAAUGGAUUGAACGAAACAUGCGCCAGAGCCAAUUUUUAUAUUUGACCAUUAAGAAAAACCUAUGAUUUUGCUUUACGAUUCGACCCACUAUCAUCCCAGAUUGCGUAGCCUCCGGCGUCCUUGGCGACGCGACGUCGUCGUCCGGACCAUCCUCCAGCACGCCUUCCAAAAUUGGCGUUCACUGGAUCGAUUAGCCCCCAGCAAAUUGAAUCGCAGCCCGCAGGAGAUUUGGUUAUUAUCGCCUCAUUUCGUACAAAGAGAAACCGCAACAAGGAAACACUGCACAUCGUUUUUUACACCCUUGCGUUAUGUUUUUUGAAUGUAUUUAAAAACAAAAACAAAAUGAAAAACCAAAACCAAAUAAUGAAAAACAAAAUAUGAAAACACACAAAACACUGAAAAAAAAAACCAAAAAUAGAAUGUAAGUUUAAAUAAUAUGCUAUUCAAAGAAAUCCAAAACAUGAUUACCCAUAAAACAAAAAAAAACGCAAAAACUAAAAAUACUAAUUAUAGUACAUACAUUGAUGUAGUGUUAAUUGUAAGAUCCCAGGAAAUUGUUUCAUGAAUGCCAGAAAACAGAAAAACAGAAUACCGAUACCAAACUCCAAGCAGUCGUAGAUGCAGAUACAGUAUCGAUGAGAUUCAGCUGCAAAGCCCGUAAAUGUACAAGUAACUAUUUUUCUCUAUACCAAAAGUAAAUCUCCACCAUUUUUGCUCCACAUUUAAGAAACAAACUCGGUGCAGGCAAAGAUUGAAUUUAGACGCAAAAAUACAGCGAUCAGGGGCUAAAUGCCGUGCGAUCAAGAAAUUUUUAAUUGAAUUGUAACAGACUACGCAAGCAAAUACGGAAUUUAAUAUUAAAUGUACAAUAGCGUCGCUUUAAAGUCUAUAAGAACAUUUUGUUGCAAUGCAAACGUGAAAUCCAAACCCAAAUCCGUUUGACAUUACGACAGAUUCGAAUGACAUCAACAACAAGA